UACGUAGGGGGCAAGCGUUAUCCGGAAUUACUGGGCGUAAAGGGCGUCUAGGCGGCCUCAUAAGCGGGAUGUGAAAGCUCCUGGCUCAACUGGGAGAGUGCGUUCCGAACUGUGGAGCUAGAGGCCAGGCGAUGGGGGUGGAAUUCCCGGUGGAGUGGUGAAAUGCGUAGAGAUCCGGAGGAACACCAGUGGCGAAGGCGACACGCUGGGCCGUACCUGACACUAAAACGCGACAGCAUGGGGAGCGAACGGG
rnacentral:rRNA from 1 species